GGAGAGUGUGUGUGUUUAUGUUGGGGGGUGCAGGGGCUGCUCCAGGCAGAGGGCCCAGCAGUGCUGCGGUGGAGGCAGGAGAGAGCUGGGUGAGUCUGAGGAAAUCAGUGGAGUUGGAGUGUAGUGAGUGUGGGGCAAGACCAGGAAAGGAGGGGCAGGGGCCAGAUGAAAGACCAUAGGGAGGACUAUGGAUUUUGUUGUAAGGGCAGCAGAGGUCACUAAAGGGUUCUAGACAGGGGCACAUCUUCAGAAGUUGACCUGGCUGCUUCCUAGGGCUGGGUUGGAGGAAGCCCUAAGUGAAGGUGGGUGAUGGUCGUCUAGGGAAGGGGAACUGGCCAGGGUGGUACAAGAUGCCACUACAGGGGCCAGGUGUGGUGGUUCACACCUGUAAUCCCAGCAUUUUGGGAGGCCGAGGUGGAUGGAUCACUUGAGGUCAGGAGUUCGAGACCAGCCUGACCAACAUGAAGAAACCCUGUCUCUACCAAAAAUACAACAAGAGCAAAACUCC
rnacentral:lncRNA from 1 species